AUCUGUAAGGAGAUCUGGUGCCC
rnacentral:piRNA from 1 species